rnacentral:rRNA from 1 species
GACGAACGCUGGCGGCGUGCCUAAUACAUGCAAGUCGAGCGCUGAAGGCCUGCACUUGUACCAACCGGAUGAGCAGCGAACGGGUGAGUCACGCGUGGGGAAUCCGCCUUUGAGCGGGGGACAUCAUUUGGAAACGAAUGCUAAUACCGCAUAAACACUUUAAACACAAGUUUUAAGUUUGAAUGAUGCAAUUGCAGCACUCACAGACGAUCCCGGGUUGUGUUGGUUAGUUGGUGAGGUAAAGGCUCACUGAGGCGGUGACACAUAGCCGACGGGAGCGGGGGAUAGGCGGCAUUGGGGGGGGGACACGGCCCAGGCUCCUACGGGAGGCAGCAGUAGGGAAUCUUCGGCAAUGGAGGAAAGUCUGACCGAGCGACGCGGAGUGAGUGAAGAAGGUUUUCGGAUCGGAAAACUCUGUUGGUAGUGAAAAACGUUGUUGGGAGGGGAAAGCUCGUCAGGUAAGGGAAACGACCCAGAAGGAGACGGCUAACUACGU